GACGAACGCUGGCGGCGUGCUUAACACAUGCAAGUCGAACGGAAAGGCCCUGCUUUUGUGGGGUGCUCGAGUGGCGAACGGGUGAGUAACACGUGAGUAACCUGCCCUUGACUUUGGGAUAACUUCAGGAAACUGGGGCUAAUACCGGAUAGGAGCUCCUGCUGCAUGGUGGGGGUUGGAAAGUUUCGGCGGUUGGGGAUGGACUCGCGGCUUAUCAGCUUGUUGGUGGGGUAGUGGCUUACCAAGGCUUUGACGGGUAGCCGGCCUGAGAGGGUGACCGGCCACAUUGGGACUGAGAUACGGCCCAGACUCCUACGGGAGGCAGCAGUGGGGAAUAUUGCACAAUGGGCGGAAGCCUGAUGCAGCAACGCCGCGUGCGGGAUGAAGGCUUUCGGGUUGUAAACCGCUUUCGCCUGUGACGAAGCGUGAGUGACGGUAAUGGGUAAAGAAGCACCGGCUAACUACGUG
rnacentral:rRNA from 1 species